rnacentral:tRNA from 1 species
GGAUAUUUAACUCAGUUGGUUAGAGAUCCCGGCUCAUAACCGGGCGGUCCUGGGUUCGAAUCCCAGAAUAUCCA